rnacentral:rRNA from 1 species
AUGCUUUACACAUGCAAGUCGAACGGCAGCAUAGAGAGCUUGCUCUCUGAUGGCGAGUGGCGAACGGGUGAGUAAUAUAUCGGAACGUGCCUAGUAAUGGGGAAUAACUAGCUGAAAGGUUAGCUAAUGCCGCAUACGACCUACGGGUGAAAGCAGGGGAUCUUCGGACCUUGCGUUAUUAGAGCGGCCGAUAUCUGAUUAGCUUGUUGGUGGGGUAAUGGCCUACCAAGGCGACGAUCAGUAGCUGGUCUGAGAGGACGAUCAGCCACACUGGAACUGAGACACGGUCCAGACUCCUACGGGAGGCAGCAGUGGGGAAUUUUGGACAAUGGGGGCAACCCUGAUCCAGCCAUUCCGCGUGAGUGAAGAAGGCCUUCGGGUUGUAAAGCUCUUUCGCAAGAGAAGAAAACUUGCUAUCUAAUAAAUAGUAAGUAUGACGGUAUC